GGUGGGGGAAGGGGAGGGAGAGCAUUAGGACAAACACCUAAGGCAUGUGGGGCUUAAAACCUAGAUGACAGGUUGGUAUGUGCAGCAAACCUUCAUGGCACAUGUAACAAACCUGCACGUUCAGCACAUGUAUCCCAGAACUUAAAGUAAAAUAAAUAAAUAAAUAAAUAAGUGACCACAGGACCUAAGUGGGUCAAGGUCAGAGGAGUGAUGGGGGAUGGAAGCAGAGGUCAAGGUCAGAGGAGUGAUGGGGGAUGGAAGCAGAGGUCAAGGUCAGAGGAGUGAUGGGGGAUGGAAGCAGAGGUCAAGGUCGGAGGAGUGAUGGGGAUGAAAGCAGAGGUCAAGGUCGGAGGAGUGAUGGGGGAUGGAAGCAGAGGUCAAGGUCAGAGGAGUGAUGGGGGAUGGAAGCAGAGGUCAAGGUCGGAGGAGUGAUGGGGAUGAAAGCAGAGGUCAAGGUCGGAGGAGUGAUGGGGAUGGAAGCAGAGGUCAAGGUCAGAGGAGUGAUGGGGGAUGGAAGCAGAGGUCAAGGUCGGAGGAGUGAUGGGGAUGGAAGCAGAGGUCAAGGUCGGAGGAGUGAUGGGGGAUGGAAGCAGAGGUCGGAGUGCAGCACUCUGAGGACGGAGGAAGGGCCAUGAGCCGAGGAAUGCGGGCAGCCUCUAGGAGCUGGAAAAGGCCGGAAACGGAUUCUCUCCUAGAGCCUUGAGAAGGGACGUGGCUCUGCAGAUGACACCUUGAUUUUGGAGACUUGAGAAGGGACGUGGCCCUGCAGACACCUCGAUUUUGGGCCAUGAGACCAAACCAUUUUGGACUUCUGACCUCCAGAACUGUAACAGACUUGUGUGAUUUCUAAGCCGCUGCGUUUGUGAUUUGUAAGCCGCUGCGUUUGUGAUUUGUUACAACCCACUUUUGGGAACAAUGACCCGGAAGGAGGGCGAGGAUAGAGAAGCCAGAGCCAGCACAGAGGUGCCAGGAGGCAGGAGCAGAGGAGGGGCGAGCUGUAUCCCAGACAAUAAGAGGGGGGAGUGUCUGGGGGCUGGUCGGGCCGCAUGAGAAGGGAGACGGAUGAGGCCACUGGCAGCCUUGACGGGAGCUGCUCCCUCUGGAAGGAAGGAAGGCCGCCCGGCUGCCAUGGACUGAAGGCUUUGCUCGCUUUGCCUCACCGAGAUGCCCCCUCUCUGCUGCUACAUCUCAGCACCCAGCAGGCACUCGGUACGCACUUAUGAGGAACACGCGACUGCUCUGACUCUUCACCCUCCUGCCACUGGGGACUCAGGCCUGGCCGCAAACACCCCCUCACUCAGGGCCCCUGUGCCGCUCGAGGUGGCUCAGGGCCUUUGCACUGGCUGCUCUCGUGGCCUGGACCACUCUUCUCAGAGGUCUCUGCGUGGCUGCCCACCGCUCAUCACCCAGGCCCCACACAGCAGCCACCAGCCAUGGGAGAGUGCCACUACUGAAAGGAUGGUAUUUUGAACACAUUGGGGUCCAUGAAGUAAAUUUGCCUUUUUUUAA
rnacentral:lncRNA from 1 species